rnacentral:rRNA from 1 species
AGUGAACGCUGGCGGUAGGCCUAACACAUGCCAGUCGAACGGCAGCACAGUAAGAGCUUGCUCUUACGGGUGGCGAGUGGCGGACGGGUGAGGAAUACAUCGGAAUCUACUUUUUCGUGGGGGAUAACGUAGGGAAACUUACGCUAAUACAGCAUACGACCUACGGGUGAAAGCAGGGGAUCUUCGGACCUUGCGCGAUUGAAUGAGCCGAUGUCGGAUUAGCUAGUUGGCGGGGUAAAGGCCCACCAAGGCGACGAUCCGUAGCUGGUCUGAGAGGAUGAUCAGCCACACUGGAACUGAGACACGGUCCAGACUCCUACGGGAGGCAGCAGUGGGGAAUAUUGGACAAUGGGCGCAAGCCUGAUCCAGCCAUACCGCGUGGGUGAAGAAGGCCUUCGGGUUGUAAAGCCCUUUUGUUGGGAAAGAAAAGCAGCAGGUUAAUACCCCGCUGUUCUGACGGUACCCAAAGAAUAAGCACCGGCUAACUUCGUG